rnacentral:rRNA from 1 species
AGUCAUGCCUAGGAGGGUGCUCCUUGAUUCAGCGGCGGACGGGUGAGUAAUGCCUAGGAAUCUGCCUGGUAGUGGGGGACAACGUUUCGAAAGGAACGCUAAUACCGCAUACGUCCUACGGGAGAAAGCAGGGGACCUUCGGGCCUUGCGCUAUCAGAUGAGCCUAGGUCGGAUUAGCUAGUUGGUGGGGUAAUGGCUCACCAAGGCGACGAUCCGUAACUGGUCUGAGAGGAUGAUCAGUCACACUGGAACUGAGACACGGUCCAGACUCCUACGGGAGGCAGCAGUGGGGAAUAUUGGACAAUGGGCGAAAGCCUGAUCCAGCCAUGCCGCGUGUGUGAAGAAGGUCUUCGGAUUGUAAAGCACUUUAAGUUGGGAGGAAGGGCAGUAAGCUAAUACCUUGCUGUUUUGACGUUACCGACAGAAUAAGCACCGGCUAACUCUGUGCCAGCAGCCGCGGUAAUACAGAGGGUGCAAGCGUUAAUCGGAAUUACUGGGCGUAAAGCGCGCGUAGGUGGUUUGUUAAGUUGGAUGUGAAAGCCCCGGGCUCAACCUGGGAACUGCAUCCAAAACUGGCAAGCUAGAGUACGGUAGAGGGUGGUGGAAUUUCCUGUGUAGCGGUGAAAUGCGUAGAUAUAGGAAGGAACACCAGUGGCGAAGGCGACCACCUGGACUGAUACUGACACUGAGGUGCGAAAGCGUGGGGAGCAAACAGGAUAAGAUACCCUGGUAGUCCACGCCGUAAAACGAUGUCAACUAGCCGUUGGAAUCCUUGAGAUUUUAGUGGCGCAGCUAACGCAUUAAGUUGACCGCCUGGGGGAGUACGGGCCGCAAGGUUAAAACUCAAAUGAAUUUGACGGGGGCCCGCACAGCCGGUGAAGCAUUGUGAUAUAAUUUCAAAGCAC